AUAAAGACUUCUUUAUCUUCUUGUACAAUUUCUGGAAUUUAUGCAAGAGACAGUGGAGAAUUCUGGUGUGAAUCUGGAGCUGGAGAGAGAAGCAACAGAGUCAGCAUCACCAUCACUGCUGGUUCUGUCAUCCUGGACAGUCCUGCGUUUCCUGUCUUUGAGGGAGACAAUGUGACUCUUCACUGUCAAAGUAGAAAGACUUUUAUGAAGCAAACAGCAGAUUUCUACAAAGGCGACGUCCUCAUUGAAGGGAGUCCUUCAGAGCAGAUGACGAUUCACAACGUCUCCAAGUCUGAUGAAGGAUUUUACAAAUGCAGCAUCAACGGCGUUGGAGAGUCACCAGAAAGCUUCCUGUCUGUUGGAGCAAAUACUGUUUCUAUCAUCCCUCCAACACCUCAUGAAGAGACGCCGUCUGAUGAACCUGAAUUUCCUCUUUGCCUCGUCCUCAAGUUGGUUCCUCUGAUGGUUUUUCUGCUGGUCACAUUUAUUUACUGCAGGAAACGCAGAGCAGCUUCCUCAGAGACGCCAACAGCAGCAUCAAACUCAGAUGAAGCAGCUUCAUGAGAUGAGAAAUCACAGAUUUGAUGGAAAACUGCAGAUUUUGCCACAAUUGUUAUCUUGGUGGAGAUUCUUUCCAACCAGAUAGUCAAAUGGACAUUUUUAAAUAUUCAUCUUUACUUUGAAGGCUUCACACAGUUUAGUUUUGAUCAGAAUUUUAAUGUGCUGUGUUCAUUUAUGCUGUAAAAAAUGAAGGUUUGUAACAGGUUUUUAUGUAAAUUUACUGUCAUUUUACAGAUUGUUCUUGUUUUCUUGCUUUACAGAUAAUAAUUAAUGAAAUAAGAGGA